rnacentral:lncRNA from 1 species
CAUGGAGCCUGGUGAGGUGGCCUGAGUCACUGAAGGUCACCCGGCUCCUUGUGGGAGGAGAGAGUGAGACUCAGCGUGUGUCCACUCCAGAGGAAUUUUCUUGACUCUCUCACCCUCCUGGGGGGACUCGCGCUGCUGUCGGUGGAGAUCGUCACUGUCUGUCUACCGCGUGAGCUGCGGGAUCCACUGCCCCGCGGAGCUUGGGAACUUGACAGGGCUCUGAGAAGUCCUCCAAUGAAGAUACACAAAGACCAGUAAAAUGAAGAUACACAAAGACAAGUAAACUGAAGACUGAGGAAUUCAAGAACCACCUAAGGAAAGGGGCUCCUCAUGAUACCAAGUGGCUGCCACAACUCUUGCCUAAGAUGCUUUCAGGAACAAGAGGGAUUCACGUCUGGGACAGACAGGAGAAGAGCUCCUGGGAUUUGCAGAAGAAAGAGGCCUGGGGACAAGUAGAUGUCAUCACUGGGGCCUCAGGAAGACCUUAUCGGGCCUGUAGACUCUUCAUUUGGAGCCUUGGUCUUAGCAGUGUUGAUUUCUGGCCCUUGGCGGAUGGCUACUAUACCUGGGAGUUACUUGCCUCUGUAAGUAACUCCGAAGGCCACUUCGCCUUAGGAUGGCAGCACCAUCUGAAGGAGCUUCCCUGGAGGCUCAGUGGCGAAGAAUCUCCCUGCCAAUACAGGAGAUGCAGGUUCACUCUCUACAUCAGGAAGAUCCCCUGGAGAAGGAAAUGGCAAUCUGUUCCAGUAUUCUUGCCUGGGAAGUCUCAUGGACAGAGGAACCUGGUGGGCUACAGUCCAUGGGGUUGCAAAAGAGUUGGACAUGACUUAGGGACUAAACAGCAGCAAAAUAGGCAAGGCAUGGGAAGGCACUGUAAGAGAACUGAAGUACACUGUCAUUCCUGCCAUAACCUUCCAAAACAUUAUAGUAAAGGAAAUAAGAUGAAUCCCCCAAUAAUUUUAAUGUAACCAAAAUGGUAACUGCUAGACAAACAGGAAAUAUAUUUUGAUAAUCUGGUUAGGGUGGUUAGAAGUGGAUUCAUGGAGAAAAUGACAGAAAAAAGAUACAUUUUAAAAAUUAUUAGGAAAUGUAGCCUUGGUUAUUUUAUCUUAUUUUACUUUUAUUUUGGAGUUUUAUCAAAAUAGACUUUUUUGAGCAAUUUUAAGUUCACACCAAAACUGGGUAGAAACUUACAGAGUUCUCACAUAACCACUGUCCCCACACAUGUACUGUCUACCCCACUAUUAACAUUUCCCCUACCCCACUAGUGGUAUAAUUGUUACAGUUGAUAACAGACCGUGACAAACAUCAUCAUCACCCAAAAUCCAUAGUUUACAUUAGGGUUCAGUCUUUGGAGAAAAGAAUAAAGACAUGUAUCCAUCACUAUAGUAGCA